rnacentral:rRNA from 1 species
UACGUAGGUGGCAAGCGUUGUCCGGAAUUAUUGGGCGUAAAGCGCGCGCAGGUGGUUUCUUAAGUCUGAUGUGAAAGCCCACGGCUCAACCGUGGAGGGUCAUUGGAAACUGGGGAACUUGAGUGCAAGAGAGAAGAGUGGAAUUCCACGUGUAGCGGUGAAAUGCGUAGAGAUGUGGAGGAACACCAGUGGCGAAGGCGACUCUUUGGCCUGUAACUGACACUGAGGCGCGAAAGCGUGGGGAGCAAACAGG